rnacentral:rRNA from 1 species
GGAUCCAGACUUUGAUUCUGGCUCAGAACGAACGCUGGCGGCAGGCCUAACACAUGCAAGUCGAGCGCUCACUUCGGUGGGAGCGGCGGACGGGUUAGUAACGCGUGGGAACGUGCCCAGAUCUAAGGAAUAGCCACUGGAAACGGCGAGUAAUACCUUAUACGCCCUUCGGGGGAAAGAUUUAUCGGAUUUGGAUCGGCCCGCGUUAGAUUAGAUAGUUGGUGGGGUAAUGGCCUACCAAGUCUACGAUCUAUAGCUGGUUUUAGAGGAUGAUCAGCAACACUGGGACUGAGACACGGCCCAGACUCCUACGGGAGGCAGCAGUGGGGAAUCUUGGACAAUGGGGGCAACCCUGAUCCAGCCAUGCCGCGUGAGUGAUGAAGGCCUUAGGGUCGUAAAGCUCUUUCGCCAGGGAUGAUAAUGACAGUACCUGGUAAAGAAACCCCGGCUAACUCCGUGCCAGCAGCCGCGGUAAU